CAGUAGCCGCGGUAACACGAAGGGGGCUAGCGUUGCUCGGAAUUACUGGGCGUAAAGGGAGCGUAGGCGGGUCGUUUAGUCAGAGGUGAAAUCCCGGGGCUCAACCUCGGAACUGCCUUUGAUACUGGCGACCUUGAGUAUGGGAGAGGUGAGUGGAACUCCGAGUGUAGAGGUGAAAUUCGUAGAUAUUCGGAAGAACACCAGUGGCGAAAGCGACUCACUGGCCCAUUACUGACGCUGAGGCUCGAAAGCGUGGGGAGCAAACAGGAUUAGAUACCCGCGUAGUCCCUGUCUCUUAUAC
rnacentral:rRNA from 1 species